CCACUCAAGCACUGCUUGGUAUUGGGCACUCGUCCGCCGAAAGGCGGGCGUGCCUCGAAGACCUCGGCGGGGUUUCACCAACUUCGGGCGUAGUAGAGUUAAAUCGAACGUCUUAUAAGCUUGAUGGGACCUCAUUGCCGUUAAACCUUUUAUUUUUUCAGGUUGACCUCGGAUCAGGUAGGGAUACCCGCUGAACUUAA
rnacentral:misc_RNA from 1 species